AGUGAACGCUGGCGGUAGGCCUAACACAUGCAAGUCGAACGGCAGCACAGUAAGAGCUUGCUCUUACGGGUGGCGAGUGGCGGACGGGUGAGGAAUAAACCGGAAUCUACUUUUUCGUGGGGGAUAACGUAGGGAAACUUACGCUAAUACCGCAUACGACCUACGGGUGAAAGCAGUGGAUCUUCGGACCUUGCGCGAUUGAAUGAGCUGAUGUCGGAUUAGCUAGUUGGUGGGGUAAAGGCCCACCAAGGCGACGAUCCGUAGCUGGUCUGAGAGGGUGAUCAGCCACACUGGAACUGAGACACGGUCCAGACUCCUACGGGAGGCAGCAGUGGGGAAUAUUGGGCAAUGGGCGCAAGCCUGAUCCAGCCAUGCCGCGUGGGUGAAGAAGGCCUUCGGGUUGUAAAGCCCUUUUGUUGGGAAAGAAAAGCAGCAGGUUAAUACCCCGCUGUUCUGACGGUACCCAAAGAAUAAGCACCGGCUAACUUCGUG
rnacentral:rRNA from 1 species